GAUUCUCCAGUUAUUAUUAAAGACAGACCACUAAAUCCUUUCUUUACGUUGGAAUUGUUGGAAAAACCUUUCUCGUUUUCAGUUCUUCAACAAUGAAAUUCCUUUUUGCAACAAAUCUUAUAGCUGCUGCCAUCUAUUGGCAAUAGAAGUGUAUUUCUCUACGACAAAAUUUACGAGUUGUUGUGUGACAGUAAAGGUGUGAAGCGUUGUUUGAAAUUGUGUCCCGAAAAGUUACCACAUAACAAGUCGUAGGUCUUCUUAUCAGGAUGGCCAGAACUAGAGAUAAUAACAACCAGUAGAACUACAACAACAAGACCUUUCAUUGUUCAGGAGUUUGAAGUCAGCUCGUGCAGAAGUUCGAUAGUUUGUUCAGGAGUUUGAAGACAGCUCGUGCAGAAGUUCUUCGGUACUCUGUAGAUUUUGCUGAAGUCACCGAGACGUAGUGAGUUUAUAUUCACGGAGAAGCCUUGAUAAUGCACGUGAAAAACCUGGUCACGUGAACGAUUCAAGCCAAUGACAGUUAUUCUUUUUCCAUCUCGGAUUAUUUGUUUUACACUUACUCGAGUGAUUGUUAAAAGAUCAACUUUAGCCAUGUUGUUUUUAUUUAUGUUGCCUGAGUGUUGAAGAGCUCUAAUGUUUCUCAGAAGGAGUGUUUCUCAAGUUUGUAGAAUAAAACUGAAUUUCAAGGA